CCUACGGGUGGCAGCAGUGGGGAAUAUUGGGCAAUGGGCGCAAGCCUGACCCAGCAACGCCGCGUGAAGGAAGAAGGCUUUCGGGUUGUAAACUUCUUUUGUCAGGGAAGAGUAGAAGACGGUACCUGACGAAUAAGCCACGGCUAACUACGUGCCAGCAGCCGCGGUAAUACGUAGGUGGCAAGCGUUGUCCGGAUUUACUGGGUGUAAAGGGCGUGUAGCCGGGUUGACAAGUCAGAUGUGAAAUCCUGCGGCUUAACCGCAGAACUGCAUUUGAAACUGUUGAUCUUGAGUACUGGAGAGGCAGACGGAAUUCCUAGUGGAGCGGUGAAAGGCGUAGAUAUUAGGAGGAACACCAGUGGAGAGGGCGGUCUGCGGGACAGCAACUGACGGUGAGGCGCGAAAGCGUGGGGAGCAAACAGGAUUAGAUACCCUAGUAGUC
rnacentral:rRNA from 1 species